GGCGAACGCUGGCGGCGUGCUUAACACAUGCAAGUCGAACGGUGAAGCGCCUUCCUUUUUGGUGGGUGUGGAUGAGUGGCGAACGGGUGAGUAACACGUGAGUAACCUGCCCCCUUCUUCUGGAUAACCGCAUGAAAGUGUGGCUAAUACGGGAUAUUCUGGGUCUGUCGCAUGAUGGGUCUGGGAAAGAUAUUGUUUCGGUGGGGGAUGGGCUCGCGGCCUAUCAGCUUGUUGGUGGGGUGAUGGCCUACCAAGGCGGUGACGGGUAGCCGGCCUGAGAGGGUGGACGGUCACACUGGGACUGAGACACGGCCCAGACUCCUACGGGAGGCAGCAGUGGGGAAUAUUGCACAAUGGGCGCAAGCCUGAUGCAGCGACGCCGCGUGAGGGAUGGAGGCCUUCGGGUUGCGAACCUCUUUCGCCAGUGAAGCAGGCCUGCCUCGUUUGUGGGUGGGUUGACGGUAGCUGGAUAAGAAGCGCCGGCUAACUACGUG
rnacentral:rRNA from 1 species